rnacentral:rRNA from 1 species
AGCGAACGCUGGUGGCAGGCCUAACACAUGCAAGUCGAACGAACCUUUCGGGGUUAGUGGCGGACGGGUGAGUAACACGUGGGAACGUGCCUUUAGGUUCGGAAUAACUCAGGGAAACUUGUGCUAAUACCGAAUGUGCCCUUCGGGGGAAAGAUUUAUCGCCUUUAGAGCGGCCCGCGUCUGAUUAGCUAGUUGGUUGAGGUAAUGGCUCACCAAGGCGACGAUCAGUAGCUGGUCUGAGAGGAUGAUCAGCCACAUUGGGACUGAGACACGGCCCAAACUCCUACGGGAAGCAGCAGUGGGGAAUCUUGCGCAAUGGGCGAAAGCCUGACGCAGCCAUGCCGCGUGAAUGAUGAAGGUCUUAGGAUUGUAAAAUUCUUUCACCGGGGACGAUAAUGACGGUACCCGGAGAAGAAGCCCCGGCUAACUUCGUG